rnacentral:tRNA from 1 species
UGUAGCUCAGUUGGUUAGAGUGCCGGCCUGUCACGCCGGAGGUCGCGGGUUCGAGCCCCGUCAACC